AUUGAACGCUGGCGGCAUGCCUUACACAUGCAAGUCGAACGGCAGCACGGGUGCUUGCACCUGGUGGCGAGUGGCGAACGGGUGAGUAAUACAUCGGAACAUGUCCUGUAGUGGGGGAUAGCCCGGCGAAAGCCGGAUUAAUACCGCAUACGAUCUACGGAUGAAAGCGGGGGACCUUCGGGCCUCGCGCUAUAGGGUUGGCCGAUGGCUGAUUAGCUAGUUGGUGGGGUAACGGCCUACCAAGGCGACGAUCAGUAGCCGACCUGAGAGGGUGACCGGCCACAUUGGGACUGAGACACGGCCCAA
rnacentral:rRNA from 1 species